rnacentral:rRNA from 1 species
UACGUAGGGCGCAAGCGUUGUCCGGAAUCAUUGGGCGUAAAGAGCGUGUAGGCGGCUUGUUAAGUCUUGCGUGAAAUCUCGGGGCUCAACCCCGAGCGGUCGUGAGAAACUGGCAGGCUAGAGUGCGGGAGAGGAGAGUGGAAUUCCUGGUGUAGCGGUGAAAUGCGCAGAUAUCAGGAAGAACACCCGUGGCGAAGGCGGCUCUCUGGAACGCAACUGACGCUGAGACGCGAAAGCGUGGGGAGCAAACAGG